CGGGGGGGGGCAAGCGUUGUUCGGAAUUACUGGGGCGUAAAGGGGCGCGCAGGCGGCCUGGCCAGUCCUACGUGAAAUCCCACAGCUCAACUGUGGAACUGCGUGGGAUACUGCCAGGCUUGAGUCCCGGGAGAGGAGAGUGGAAUUCCCAGUGUAGCGGUGAAAUGCGUAGAUAUUGGGAGGAACACCGGUGGCGAAGGCGGCUCUCUGGACCGGCACUGACGCUGAGGCGCGAAAGCUAGGGGAGCAAACGGGAUUAGAUACCCCGGUAGUCCUAGCCCUAAACGAUGAGCACUUUGUGUGGCGGGUAUCGACCCCUGCCGUGCAGAAGCUAACGCAUUAAGUGCUCCGCCUGGGGAGUACGGUCGCAAAGGCUG
rnacentral:rRNA from 1 species